UCGAGACAUCAGGGAUGCCCUAGAGGAGCAGGAUGAUGUGAAUUCCAGCAGUGCAUCCUGUCUCAGCCCGAGGGAGGCAGUGCUGGGAACAUCCCUCUGUUUCCCGUGUGUGGACUCGGGAUUUUCUCUGCAAGAACCAACCUAAAACCAACCCAAUUCCUCCUGCUCACAACCUUCUCAUCCCAAAAUAUUUUCAGCCUGGACUCCAGGAGUGGAGAAGCUGGGAUGGGACCCCCUCAGCCAGCACCAGGCUCCUUCUCCACCCCCCCUAAAAAGUUCUUCCUGAACCUCAUCGGAGCAGAUUGAGUCACUGGAGUGCCGUGACAUCACUCGUGGUUUUGCGAGCGAGCAGCCGCGUUUCCUGUGGUGCCCGGGCUGCUGUAGACACAGACACUCAUGGAGAGAUGUGAGCUUUUAGCUCCUGCUCCUUCCUCCCUCCCAGCAUCACUUCCCUCAACCCUCACCUCUCUUUCCCAGCGCCAGCGGCGAGGGCCGGCGGCGGAGCUGGAGAGCUGGAUCCCGCUGAGAGGAUGAAAACAUGGGGCUCAAGUUAUCCUGCCUGAAAGGCUUGAAGAUGUGUGUGAGCAGCGGGAACGGCAGCGACGGCGCCCCGAGAGCAUCCUCGGGACAGAAGCACCUACACGUGCCCUCCAUCAUCGUCACACCUCCCACGCCCACGGGCACGGCGCUGUCCCGCGAGGGGCGGCGCGGGGAGGGCCCGGCACCCUGCAGCCAGUGCUGAGAGGGGACACGGGGGGACAGCCAGGCCGCCAGGACCUGGCCCCGCUCCGUCGGGAUGGAGCCACAGCCUGCAGGGUGCGGCUGCCGCUCGCAGGGACACACGGGGGGUUUGGACUGGGGUUUGUCGCUUUUCCUAGCAGCGCCGCGGAGGGGGAUCCCCCCACGGUGAAUAAAACCCCUGCGGCUCCGCAUCCCCCUUUCGGCUGUGUCAGCGCAUGGGGUGUGGGUUGUGCCCCACAAAACACCCCAGCACACCCCCCCGGAGCUGCUUUCCUGCCCGUGGGUGGCCGAAAGUGGGGCCCCCACCUCCCCAGCAGGGAUUGAAGAAUCCAUUUCAGCAAACAGCACCGGGAAAAUGAACUCGGCGGUGUCACCUGCAUCCCGCCGGAUCGGCCGCAUCCCGGGAGGGAGCCGGGGGCGACGCUUCCCGGAGAGCGGCGGCACCCGGAGCCGGCGGGAGAGGCGGGAGUGUGAAAGCAGA